rfam:Canis lupus familiaris chromosome 26, whole genome shotgun sequence.
UGGAGGAACAAUCCCAGUGGCGGGACCAGCUCUGGAAACCUGGAUUCAGCUCCAGCAGGAACUCCGUCUGCAGGGCCUGGAGGCUCCGGGGCGGG